rnacentral:lncRNA from 14 species
CCGGCUCGGGAACGGGAGGACAGGUCGCCGUUGGAUGGAGCCCUGUAGCCAGUUUCCCGGAGGGAGCUGGACGUUAGCGAGACUAUCGACCUUCAGCCCUAAAAUAGAACGAAUCUAAUUUAGUUUAAUGCCCGGGGGAAGGAGAACUAGCGCUGGUCUACUGCUGUAUCUUUCGCUUUCCUCUUCCACUCCCCGGCGGGCCUCCUGGCUCAGCCAGGCCAAGCCGCCCUCGGCCGCCGGCCCCAUGACGGGGCGGGCCCUGCCAGAGAGCGGCGCCGGGCGUGGCCGGGCCCGCCACCGCCUCUCCACCGGCUCGGCAGCGGUUGCGGGCGGUGCGGCCUGCCAUGGGGCUGUGUCUGCCCUGCAUGGGGGGCGCCGUGAAGGACGUGGUGGAGACACCCGAUCCGGAAAUAAAAAGAAGACAGCUAGCAGAAGCUGCUGAAAAGAGGCAGAUGGAGGCUUCCUCUCGAGGUAUUAAGAACGCUUACUCUGUAGAGCAAAAGAAAAAGAAACAGGAAGAAAUGGAAAAAAGAAUGACAACUUCAGGUUCUGGAGGAGGUGGAGGACUGAGAGUAAGUUUAAAGAAGAAACAACAUGAUGCAACUGUCUGUAUUUUACUGAGAAAGUCCUGCUUUGUUGCUGUCCAUAAGAUUUAAUAACUUGAGGAAAAGCUAAGAGGAAGGGAAAUGAAAGCAUGGGUCAUUUUCACACAGUGUUCUCAGUGAGGUUUCAUUUCUGGGACACAAAGACAGCAAGGAUGGCAGAGAGCUCCCCAUCUCUUCCUCCUCAGUUUCUCCAUUGUACUUUCAGCACUGGGGACCUUCUCACAGAUUUGUCCUGUACUCAGUGUCUCUUUUCAGUACCAUCUGUGACUGUCUCACUUCCCUCAGAGUUUACAGAAAAUGUUUGAACCAACUAGGGUAAUGUCUUCAGGUUUCCUGGGUCUGUCUCUGCAUACAGUGUUGGCAUAGAUACUGAUCAACUUUACUGCUGUUACUACUAGUUUUCUAAUGUAAACUGUGUCAGACCAGGCAGAGAUUUAAUUUAGAAAUAGAAUCCCAGAAUGUUUCGGGUUGGAAGGGACCUUAAAGCUCAUCCAGUUCCAACCCCCUGCUGUAGGCAGGGACACCUUCCACUAGACCUGGUUGCUCCAAGCCCUGUCCAGCUUGACCUUAAACGCUGCCAGGGAUGGGGCAGCCACAGCUUCUCUGGGCAACCUGUGCCAGAGCCUCACCACCCUCACAGGGAAGAACUUUUUCCAUUUAUCUAACCUAAAUCUUCCCUCUGUCAGUUUAAAGCCAUUCCCCUUUGUCCUGUCACUACCUGCCCUUAUAAAAAGUCCCUUUCCAGAUUUCCUGUAGACCUUUUUUAGAUAUUGGAAGACUUAAAAGAUCUCCCCAGAGCCUUCUCUACCUGAGGCUGAACAAGCCCAGCUCUCUCAGCCUGUCUUUAUGAAAAGAGAUUCUUUAGGAAUGUCUCCAAAGCAAUAGAUACAUCUGGUUAUCAAAAUACAGGUUUCAUAAGCCUUCACCUCUUACCGUCACUGCAGGCAUUUUAGACAAACUGGUGCUGGUGGGCUACACGUCCCUCACUUGCUGGGUAUAAAUGGAAUGGGGAAUUCACUGUAUUUAGACAACUUUGUGUUUGGGUUGUUUUUUUGGGGAGAGGUUUGUUAGUUUGGUUUGGCUUUUUUUCUUGCUUUCCCCUCCCUUCAUACAAACUUGUGGUGUGUUAUGUUGUUCUUUAGUGGCAGGUUGGAUAAAGAAUUAUGACUUACAAAGAGAAGAAGAUUGACGUUUACUGCCAGUAAUUUGCCAGUUUCUGCAGCUGAGUGGCACUUACUCAUCCUGUGGCUUUUGCUGUUUGCAUAUGAAGACUCAGCAAUACUUCGCCAUUGUGGAAGAGCAGGGGUGGAAACACACUGAGAAAUUUAAAAAGUAGCUUUGAGCACUAAGUUUUGGCCAAUUUUUGUUUAUUUUGUGUGCAUAUUUUACUGCUUCCCUGUCACACGAGUGAGGUGGGUUCUCACAUGGAAGUGGCCUCCAUGUACCUGUAGUGAGUCAGUACAUGGAUGCUGUCUGGUCAAGUGGGUGUCUUGUCUGUCUGUGACUGGCUUAAACAUAGCUCAGGUGACCCUUAUUUCAAGCUCUCCCAUCAAACUAUUUUCUAAGUCCUCAUGUAGAAAGCUGUCCAUAAAUACAUAUAUUUGAAUAUGUGGGUAAUGACAUUUCAGUUUCUUAAUGACUUUGAACUGCUUAGGGAUUUAGUGCCUUGUUCAAAACAGAAAGCAGAUUCACAGUGUGCCCUUGCCAAUAGAAGUGUUUUGUGACACUAGUAAAAAAAAAUAGAAACCUUUCUAAACCUUGUGUACUUAUGUGAAGAAAGCUGUUUUAUUAUGAGCCUAAUAAUUGUUCUUCUCGUUUUUGGAUGUGCAUUUCCUUGGAGACUCUAAAUAUAGUGAAUGCUGGAAGUUAAACAUUACAUUAAUACUAUUAGUCUUUCUCCUUUAUUACCACAAGAGGGCAAUGCUGCACCUCACAGGAGUUCGAAAAACAAAUGGCAAAUGACUUCAUCACCCCUUGGAUGGUUCAUUUUCUCAGGUUUGUGUCCUGUCCUUUAUGGGUGGGUUUUUAUGGUGCAGUAACGUCUGCCAAGUAUCCAAAACUCUGUGACUUUUUCCCUGUCUUCAGCAAUGUCUGUGGUCCCUUUCCCAAACAUGAAGCUGCCUUUUAUUAUUUAUUGCUCCCUAAACCCUGGUGUUAAAACCAGACUUUCAAACUAGUAGCCUCAAGCCACUGCUCUGAUAGAGCGAAGUUUGUUGCAGCAUGUUUGACACUUGAAUCUAGCUCUCAUUUUCCCCAGAGAGCAUGAUGCUUGGCUUCAGUAUCUUACUGGCCUCAUUUCUGGCCUAGUUUAGGUUAUAGAGGCUUUCCCCACACCCCCCCCCCCCUUGAACUAAAUAUUUCUUCUUUUAUCUCCCUCAGUAGAGUCUCAUGCUGUCUUAGGAGCGCAGUCCUGACACGAUGAGUUUCCUGGCUUAGCCUUCAGAAUUGAGAAGAGAGACUUUUCAGUAUUAACAUAGUGGUAUUUGGGCUAAGAAACUGUGUCCUUGGCAGAUCAAUGUCUUCAGUUUCCUUUUGGUUGCUGGCAAUUAAAUGGUCAUAGCAAGUUGGGGGUUUUUAAGUCUUAACAAAACAUGCAUUGAAUUAUAAUAAAAUAUAUUCUUAAAAACA